GAUGAACGCUGGCGGCGUGCUUAACACAUGCAAGUCGAACGAAGCAUGCAGGACGGAAUUUUUCGGAAGGAAGACCUGUAUGACUGAGUGGCGGACGGGUGAGUAACGCGUGGGUAACCUGCCUUAUACAGGGGAAUAACAGUUAGAAAUGACUGCUAAUACCGCAUAAGCGCACAGUACCGCAUGGUACGGUGUGAAAAACUCCGGUGGUAUAAGAUGGACCCGCGUCUGAUUAGCUGGUUGGCGGGGGUAAACGGCCCACCAAGGCAACGAUCAGUAGCCGGCUUGAGAGAGUGGACGGCCACAUUGGAACUGAGACACGGUCCAAACUCCUACGGGAGGCAGCAGUGGGGAAUAUUGCACAAUGGGGGAAACCCUGAUGCAGCGACGCCGCGUGAGCGAAGAAGUAUUUCGGUAUGUAAAGCUCUAUCAGCAGGGAAGAUAAUGACGGUACCUGACUAAGAAGCCCCGGCUAACUACGUG
rnacentral:rRNA from 1 species